rnacentral:rRNA from 1 species
CCUACGGGUGGCAGCAGUGGGGAAUAUUGGACAAUGGGCGAAAGCCUGAUCCAGCCAUGCCGCGUGUGUGAAGAAGGCCUUCGGGUUGUAAAGCACUUUCAGUGGGGAAGAAAGCCUUGGGGCUAAUACCCUCGAGGAAGGACAUCACCCACAGAAGAAGCACCGGCUAACUCCGUGCCAGCAGCCGCGGUAAUACGGAGGGUGCGAGCGUUAAUCGGAAUUACUGGGCGUAAAGCGCGCGUAGGCGGUCUGAUAAGCCGGUUGUGAAAGCCCCGGGCUCAACCUGGGAACGGCAUCCGGAACUGUCAGGCUAGAGUGCAGGAGAGGAACGUAGAAUUCCCGGUGUAGCGGUGAAAUGCGUAGAGAUCGGGAGGAAUACCAGUGGCGAAGGCGGCCUUCUGGACUGACACUGACGCUGAGGUGCGAAAGCGUGGGUAGCAAACAGGAUUAGAUACCCCAGUAGUC